rnacentral:pre_miRNA from 1 species
UUCCCUUCUCUCAAGUUGCCAAACAAGCCAAGUUGCCAAACAAGCCGUAGGGUGGGUGGGGAAGAUCGGAAGAAGCGGCACUCGAUCGCUAUUUUUUUUCUUUUUACCGAUCUCUUUCUGUAACCGCUGUUUAGGCGGAGUGGGGAGUGGGAA